UGUAUUAACCCCUCUCUUUCAGUCUGCAGUGCUGAGUCCGACUGUGCCGAGCCCUAGUCGCAGUGGGAGAAUGAACCUGCUCUCCCUCAUGCAGUCCAUCAGUGUGCUGGAUGAAGAGCAAGAGGAGAAAGAAGAGACAGAGAACAGAGAGAUAGCUCUCCAUCAGCGCCGGUCUCCAGCGGCGAGGAGGCGGUCCCGGGCAGACAGUGCGAGGAGGCGGGUCUUGGUACAGCAGAGACAUGUGGACGUGUCACCUGAGCCCCGCAGCCAAUUGGAGCACAGCACAGCAGGGGAGGGGCAAAGAGGAGAGGAGCCGCAUUUCUCAA